GACGAACGCUGGCGGCGUGCUUAACACAUGCAAGUCGAACGGAAAGGCCCUGCUUUUGUGGGGUGCUCGAGUGGCGAACGGGUGAGUAACACGUGAGUAACCUGCCCUUGACUUUGGGAUAACUUCAGGAAACUGGGGCUAAUACCGGAUAGGAGCUCCUGCUGCAUGGUGGGGGUUGGAAAGUUUCGGCGGUUGGGGAUGGACUCGCGGCUUAUCAGCUUGUUGGUGGGGUAGUGGCUUACCAAGGCUUUGACGGGUAGCCGGCCUGAGAGGGUGACCGGCCACAUCGGGACUGAGAUACGGCCCAGACUCCUACGGGAGGCAGCAGUGGGGAAUAUUGCACAAUGGGCGGAAGCCUGAUGCAGCAACGCCGCGUGCGGGAUGACGGCCUUCGGGUUGUAAACCGCUUUCGCCUGUGACGAAGCGUGAGUGACGGUAAUGGGUAAAGAAGCACCGGCUAACUAUGUG
rnacentral:rRNA from 1 species